UAGAAGCUUCGGCUAGGGAUGGA
rnacentral:piRNA from 1 species